rnacentral:rRNA from 1 species
CAAAAACAUGUCCUUUAGAAUUAAUUUAAGGUCAGGCCUGCCCAAUGAUUUAUUAAAUGGCCGCAGUAUUUUGACUGUGCAAAGGUAGCAUAAUCAUUAGUUUCUUAAUUAGAAGCUGGAAUGAAGGGUUUAAUGAGAAAUUAGCUGUCUUUUUUUAAAUUUUACAAUUUUAUUUUUGAGUUAAAAAGCUUAAAUUUAUUAUAAAGACGAGAAGACCCUAUAGAGUUUAAUAACUGGUUGAUUUAAGUUUACAGGUUUAUUUAUAUUUAAAUUUAAUUUGUUAAUUGGUUGGGGUGAUUAUAAAAUUUGAUUAACUUUUUUUAUUUUUUACAUUUAUUAAUGAUUGAUUGAUCCUUCAUUCAGGAUUAUAAGAUUAAAUUACCUUAGGGAUAACAGCGUAAUUUUUCUUGAAAGUUCAUAUUUACAGAAGAGUUUGCGACCUCGAUGUUGGAUUAAAAUUAAUAUUGGGUGUAGAAGCUUAAUUAUUAGGUCUGUUCGACCUUUAAAAUUUUACAUGAUCU